GGACAUCGUGAGGAGCGCAUCCGCGGAAGUAGACACAAGCGGCUGGUCAGUCGCCUGGUCAUGGAGAGCCCACAGGGAGAAGAGCCACUGGGAGGCUGGCAGGCCAUUGACUGGCGGAAGGACGCGUAGUUUGGACUGAGCAGUCAGAGAAAAGCUAGAAGAGCCGGGCCGCAGAGCAGCCUGACUCCAGGGCAUCAGGCAAGAGCCUACCAAGGAGUUUGUGAGUUUUUAAAAAGGUUUUUACUUCGAGUGACAAGGUCAGCAAUAGAACACUCUCACACCAUUAAGAUCCUAACUGGUUAAAAGCCUUACAGUGAUAUUCAGAAGCUACUUUUCAGAAGAAACCAACCAACAGCAAAUGAAAUCAGAUUUCUUGAGGAGAGCCCUGGGAGGCAGGUGGAUUAAUGGUAAGUGGUCAACUUUGCAACAGAUACAAGAGGGUGGAUUUUGUCAGAUAAUCAGCAAGCCUAUGUUUUCAAAACCAGAUCAACAGCUCAACAUUCCGUGUCUCAUGUGAGACCGUACCCUGGGAUGCGGCAUAAGCUCACUAGCAAGUGUUUCUUUCCCCCCACUUCCUCUUCCGGGGAUGAAUCCCCACUGUAUGCAGACCAACACACCAGUCAUCAGGGGGACCCCCAGAGCUGAAACAACCAGACCUUUCAUCUGAGAAAAUACAUCCCCAUCUCAUAUGAAAAUUGUGUGGAUCCAAAAUGCUUUUUUAAAUUAAAUUUUGUACUUUUUCGCCAGUUGGAAUAUACUUUACACCUUUCCUAAAUGGCUUGACAGUUUUUUUUUUAAUUUAAAACAAUAGUACUAAAAUUGAAUUUUAAAAUUAAAGAUGAAAGACAAUAAGAAAAACUGGUCAAAGCAAAGCCUGCGUUGGAACCAAUCUACCAGAAAGUCCUGCAGAAUUGUUCAGGCUUCUCAAACCCCACUCCGCUUAUAUCAAACCAGAGGAAUGGAGUCCUUCAGACAGCUAGCAGAUUUUGAUUCCAUUCAUGCAAAAAAAUGGUCAGCGCUGACUCUGGAAUGCGCCCCUCCCAG
rnacentral:lncRNA from 1 species